GUGCAAUAAUACUAUUUAUUAAAUGAAGGGUGUUUAAGAAUAAAUAUACUAUACUUUAUGCUGUUUUACAUAUUCCCAUUUAAGCAUCACAUCAUGCUUAAAGAGUUGACUGUACAUUCAUUUUACAGGGUGUAUGCCAAUUUGUACUUUCCACUGAAAAUCAUCUCUCACAGACACGUGAUUUAUUUUGGAAAGCAGAAAUUGAAUAAUUAUUUUUAUUGAUCAACACACACGUCAAAUUAUAAAGACAAUAUUUUAGACAUUCUUUAAUCCAUAACACUUUAACGUGGAUUUAUUGUUUUAUCAAUAUAAGAUCACCUGUCGUUGUUCUAUUGAAUAUUGCACGGCAUUACAAAAUAACUGCAUCAAACCUUCUGUUGUUAAAAUAGAACUGCAUUCAAUGUUUCUUUAAUAUAAUAAAAUAUAUCAACCAAUAGUAUAAUUCCCUUUCUUUUUACUUGAUUGACACUAAUUUAUAAGUCAUUGAUAACAUCACUCUGAAAUGUCACCUCAUCCAAGGGACAUAUUUCAAGAAGCACUCCAAACACUUUAAUCACUACCGCACUUUGUAGUGGUUAUGGUGCCAGGAAUGUUCUGCACCCUUCUCCACUGUAAGUACUCCACCUUUGUUUAAUAUGGUUUUAAUUCUUAACUGGGGUCUGAUGGGCCCACUCCCAACAUACAGCUACAGCUUAGGUGAUACUGGAAGCUCUCCUGAGGUAAGCGCUGCAAGGCCGGGCCAGCUCAUUGGCUCAUUGCUCGCUUCCAAUUAGCUAAUCCCUGCACUUCUGAAUUUAGCUCCGACAAAGAGCUUCUCUCUCUCUUAUAGCUGUGGUGGAGGUGGGGAGCGGAUCCCCUUCAGUCCUUGCCAUGAGGAGGCGCCAGAACACCCCUGGCAACAUAACCACUACAGUGCACUACAGAGGUUAUGGUGAUUGCUGUAUUCCGUGAUCCUGUGAUCUCCAACAAAUAUAGUUCCAUAAAAACACACUGCACACAUGUAGCAAGCAAACCGGUCAACUUUAUAUUAUCAAAAACAAGUAAAUCACUUUUAUUCUGUUAACGUUUCUAAAUUUGUGCUAAGGUCUACAGUUUUUAUAGUGUGCAAAGAAAAGGAGUAGUCAGUAUAAGGUUGAGUAAUGCAUAUUAAAUAUACCAUUAGACAUAUUCCUCCGCAAAAGGUCAAUGGAAAAAUAUGGUGCCUUAUUACACAUUAAUGUAUUCACAUGAUUUGCAUUGCAACGACACACACUUUUUAAAGCAACUAAUUAGAAAAUUCCUGGCUUGCAUCCCAGAAUUUAAAAAAUAAAAAUGAUAAGCUCACCUAAUUGUAUACUGUCCAUUUCAUGUGACCUUUUAUUCCGGGGCAAUUCAAAUAUUUUGACCUGUACAUAACAUUCUAUAAUAAACUACACUGGAUUGCUUCUAAUCAAAAUUCCUACUUUUUACAUACAUUAUAUAGUUAUUAUUAACAAUGAUGACGAGGAAUAACUCAGCACUGCUUUUAGAUAAAUUUACUUUGCAACAGGUGAUUUGCAUAUGGAAUUUCAAGCAAAAUAACGAGUGGAAAGUUUAGUAUUUCAGAAAUCCUUAUUAUUCUGCACACAUUGUACUGCUAUGAAAUGUUUAGAUCGCACAGAUUAUGCUACGUUUAAAGUAGUUUCUUACAAAGCUCUCUGAAAGUGUUAUGGGGCAUUCACAAACAUUUAAAUAUAUAAUAAAUACUGACAUCAACUCAGCAAUAAAAAAUUCCAUUCUCUGUGCAAAAAAAAUGUGUAAUAAUAAGAUCAUCAAGUUAUUUAACCAGGACUGAUUCUUUUUGCUUUUUCUAAUUUUUAGGUAUCUCCUGAAGGUUAUUCUCUAUAGCGAGAAUUCGGAGCAAAUUCCAAAUUUAAGGUGAAAACAGUAAAACUGGAAUCUGAGUUCAGGUACUUUGGCCUUAAAUUUGAAAUUAACUUAGAAUUCUCACUUAAAUGGAUAAGCCUGACAGUGUUUUACAGCAAUGACUUUAGAAUGGUUCUGUGGAUUUAACCAUUAACGCAGUGCAACUAUAGGCGGCAUUCUUCAACACACCCAAAAUGUUCAAAUUCACUAUUCGUUUAUGAGAUUUGACAUUCAUAAGGUGAAUUACUUAUUCUUAUAAUACUUGAUAGUCUCCUUUAUAU